GUGCACUGGAAGUGAUGUACCUUACAGAACACUUUCCCCUCGAACCAGGAGACAGGAGACACUUUGGGGAGGCAGCGUCCAUGAAACAGAGCCUAUGCAGGAUAGACACACUCCUUGUGGCAGGAGUGUAUAAAAACUUGGGCACGGUUGGCUUGGCUUGUACAGUGCGAGACAGGAAGUCUGGAGAUCCUCAUUAUGCUCUUGAGUUCCCAUCCAACCUGGUUUGACCGGCGCUUUACACUUGCGGGUUAGCCUUUGCACAGGAGAGGACAAGCGGCCUGUGUAUCUCUGCUGAAGGUGGACUAACUGACCCUGAGUUUAUGGCACUGAGUCUGCAUGAUUUUUGAAA
rnacentral:lncRNA from 1 species